rnacentral:rRNA from 1 species
GCCUGUCUCAGUUCGGAUUGGAGGCUGAAACCCGCCUCCAUGAAGUUGGAUUCGCUAGUAAUCGCGCAUCAGCCAUGGCGCGGUGAAUACGUUCCCGGGCCUUGUACACACCGCCCGUCAAGCCAUGGGAGCCGGGGGCGCCUGAAGUCCGGGACCGCGAGGACCGGCCUAGGGCGAAACUGGUGACUGGGGCUAAGUCGUAACAAGGUAAC